rnacentral:rRNA from 1 species
UGGCGGCGCGUUUAAGCAUGCGAAGUCGAGCGGGCAGGGGGGCGUUCGGUCCCCCGACGAGCGGCGGACGGGUGAGUAACACGUGGACAACCUGCCCCCCGGUUCGGGAUAGCCCAGGGAAACCUGGAUCAAUACCGGAUGCGAGGGCGGCCGCACAAGCGGCCGUCGGGAAAGGCGCUUCGGCGCCGCCGGGGGAUGGGUCCGCGUCCCAUUAGCUAGACGGUGGGGUAACGGCCCACCGUGGCGAUGAUGGGUAGCCGGCCUGAGAGGGUGGACGGCACAUUGGAACUGAGACACGGUCCAGACUCCUACGGGAGGCAGCAGCUAAGAUCUUCCGCAAUGGGCGAAAGCCUGACGGAGCGACGCCCACGUGAACGAAGAAGGCCGUGAGGUUGUAAAGUUCUUUUCGGGAGGGGGAACGAGGCUGCCAGGCAAUGGGCGGCCGAUGACGUGAAUCCCGGAAUAAGCCCCGGCUAACUACGUGCCAGCCGCCGC